rnacentral:rRNA from 1 species
UACGUAGGGGGCUAGCGUUGUCCGGAAUCAUUGGGCGUAAAGAGCGUGUAGGCGGUCCGGUAAGUCCGCUGUGAAAGUCGGGGGCUCAACCCUCGAAUGCCGGUGGAUACUGUCGGGCUAGAGUGCGGAAGAGGCGAGUGGAAUUCCUGGUGUAGCGGUGAAAUGCGCAGAUAUCAGGAAGAACACCAGUGGCGAAGGCGGCUACCUGGACAGGUACUGACGCUGAAGCGCGAAAGCUAGGGGAGCAAACAGG